rnacentral:rRNA from 1 species
UACGGAGGGUGCAAGCGUUAUCCGGAUUCACUGGGUUUAAAGGGUGCGUAGGUGGGCAAGUAAGUCAGUGGUGAAAUCUCCGGGCUUAACCCGGAAACUGCCAUUGAUACUAUUUGUCUUGAAUACUGUGGAGGUCAGCGGAAUAUGUCAUGUAGCGGUAAAAUGCUUAGAUAUGACAUAGAACACCAAUUGCGAAGGCAGCUGGCUACACAAAUAUUGACACUGAGGCACGAAAGCGUGGGGAUCAAACAGG